rnacentral:rRNA from 1 species
UACGGAGGUGGCAAGCGUUGCUCGGAAUCACUGGGCGUAAAGGGCGCGUAGGCGGGGAGGUAAGUCGGGUGUGAAAUCCCUCAGCUCAACUGAGGAAUUGCGCCCGAAACUGCUGUGCUAGAGGAAUACAGAGGUGAGCGGAACUUAGGGUGGAGCGGUGAAAUGCGUUGAUAUCCUAAGGAACACCGGUGGCGAAAGCGGCUCACUGGGUAUUUUCUGACGCUGAGGCACGAAAGCUAGGGGAGCAAACGGG